rnacentral:rRNA from 1 species
GAUGAACGCUGGCGGCGUGCUUAACACAUGCAAGUCGAACGGAAAGGCCAGUGCUUGCACUGGUACUCGAGUGGCGAACGGGUGAGUAACACGUGGGUGAUCUGCCCUGCACUUCGGGAUAAGCCUGGGAAACUGGGUCUAAUACCGGAUAGGACAAUGGUUUGGAUGCCGUUGUGGAAAGUUUUUUCGGUGUGGGAUGAGCUCGCGGCCUAUCAGCUUGUUGGUGGGGUAAUGGCCUACCAAGGCGUCGACGGGUAGCCGGCCUGAGAGGGUGUACGGCCACAGUGGGACUGAGAUACGGGCCAGACUCCGACGGGAGGCAGCAGUGGGGAAUAUUGCACAAUGGGCGCAAGCCUGAUGCAGCGACGCCGCGUGGGGGAUGACGGCCUUCGGGUUGUAAACUCCUUUCGCUAGGGACGAAGCGUAUUUGUGACGGUACCUGGAGAAGAAGCACCGGCUAACUACGUG